rnacentral:misc_RNA from 1 species
CACAAACAUAUGAAGGUACGGGGUGCUCUGGGCACAGUACUGCGGAGGCUGAAUUAUUUCUACCCAUGUCUUUUGCGGACUUGUUGUUUCCUGGGCGAGUUCGCUCGCCACCUAGGACCCCACAUAAACCUUUCUUAUGGUUUGCAAUCAGCGUCAGUAUAACAUAAUGUAAUUAUUA